ACGCGCUAACGUUGAGUCCUCCUCUAAGAAAUCAUACUCAACUCUCACGAAGUUCUUUCUGAACUCAACCCCAUUUGAAUUUCAUUCACCAACUGCUGUAAAAUCGACUCUCAACUCACCCACUUUCAACUUCACUCCACUCACGUUUGUUCGCGUCAUCACCAUCCGCGUCACCAUCUGCAUCAUCCACACCGUCGUUCGCGUCACCUUUAUUAUCGUUUGCGUCGUCUGCGUCUAGCCCACCGUCGUCGAGGGCAUUGAAGCAUAAAUUCUCUUUGAAAAAUAGUAACAACAGAGAAGGCCUGUGGCUGAAUCCACUUCAUCAGGUAAUUAGUUCUCCUUUCUAUAAAACUGAUAAUAUGUUUUUUUUUUAACAUUUUCCCGUCUAAAUUUUAUGUAUAGUAUAAACUAUUAAGGAAGUGAUUAAUUAGAUGAUAGAAGAAGCUUGUCUGCUAUUAGUUGGAUUGGAGAUACGUGUUAUGGAGAGAAUUCAUUAAUUUUGAUUUGUAGCUGAGAAUAUCAGCAGUGAUGAAGUUGAAACAACACCCUAUUCCACUCAAAAUAUGUUCAGAUAAGGAAAGCUUAAGGCUACAGAUAUACAAAAUCGAAACUGGUUUCAUUCAUACGAUCGACUUUAAGUUUUAGGGUUCGAUUGCGUGGACGAAGAUAGAAAAGAAUAUUAAUGCAUGUGAAGGAGUUACGGAUAUUAAAGUUUACUUGUAUGACAGUGCAAUUAAGUCCGGUCUUCUUGUUUAGGAUUAUGCACACUAUUUUAUUAAUGGUGAUAGAAGAGUGAUUGUUAACAACAAUGGUGUUCCCUUACCACCACAUCUAGGUGGUCCGCAAAAUGUAGCAACCAUUGCCAAUGAUGGAAGCUUCAUGGCCAUGCGAAAGGAAGUUUCGGUAGUGGCAAAAAUUUCUAUGGUUUUAAUUAAAGAAAAACCCUAGCUUGGUGUUAAUUUAUAUUUUUAUGACGAUCAUAAUGUU